rnacentral:rRNA from 1 species
UGUCACCGCAUGGUGGUGUGUGGAAAGGGUUUACUGGUCUUGGAUGGGCUCACGGCCUAUCAGCUUGUUGGUGAGGUAAUGGCUCACCAAGGCGACGACGGGUAGCCGGCCUGAGAGGGUGACCGGCCACACUGGGACUGAGACACGGCCCAGACUCCUACGGGAGGCAGCAGUGGGGAAUAUUGCACAAUGGGCGAAAGCCUGAUGCAGCGACGCCGCGUGAGGGAUGACGGCCUUCGGGUUGUAAACCUCUUUCAGCAGGGAAGAAGCCACAAGUGACGGUACCUGCAGAAGAAGCGCCGGCUAACUACGUGCCAGCAGCCGCGGUAAUACGUAGGGCGCAAGCGUUGUCCGGAAUUAUUGGGCGUAAAGAGCUCGUAGGCGGUUUGUCGCGUCUGCUGUGAAAGCCCGGGGCUUAACCCCGGGUGUGCAGUGGGUACGGGCAGACUAGAGUGCAGUAGGGGAGACUGGAAUUCCUGGUGUAGCGGUGGAAUGCGCAGAUAUCAGGAGGAACACCGAUGGCGAAGGCAGGUCUCUGGGCUGUUACUGACGCUGAGGAGCGAAAGCAUGGGGAGCGAACAGGAUUAGAUACCCUGGUAGUCCAUGCCGUAAACGUUGGGCACUAGGUGUGGGGGACAUUCCACGUUUUCCGCGCCGUAGCUAACGCAUUAAGUGCCCCGCCUGGGGAGUACGGCCGCAAGGCUAAAACUCAAAGGAAUUGA